UUGUAUAUUUCGAUGGUUGUCAUCCACACAAGAGUUGAAAGUUAAACCAGUGCAAAUGAGAACGAAAAAGAAUCUUUGGUUCAGAAAAGAGUAUUACUAGAGUAUAUUACUAACUGACAAUGAUUACAGAUGAAAAUGUUGCUCUACACGGUUCUUGGUAGUUACGUUUUAACGUCAAUAAUUCUUUUCAAAUAUCCAAGUCUGUUGCACAAGAAGAAAAAUGUUAAGUUUAUGUGCCACCAUAUCAGUCACAGGGGCGGUGCUGGAGAAAGUUAUGAGAAUACAAUGUAUGCUUUUAAAAGAGCAGUAGCAAUCGGCACUGAAAUGUUAGAACUAGACUGCCACCUCACGAAAGAUGGUAAAGUUGUUGUAUCUCAUGAUCAUAAUCUUUUGCGAAGCACGGGAACCAAUAAAAAUAUUUCGGAUCUAGAUUAUAAGGACUUACCUCUACUGAAACAUCGUUUACCAAUUGAUUUUGAUCCAGAUGUAGAAUACGUUGGUUCCGCAAAUGAGGAUGAAAGACAUUUCGCUCUUUUAAAAGAGGUCUUUGUGGCAUUUCCCCACAUUCCUAUCAACAUUGAUAUUAAAAUUAAUAACGACGAACUGAUAUCCAAAGUCGCAGCUCUUAUUAAAGAAUAUAAUAGAGAGGAUUAUACUGUUUGGGGAAACUUCAGUGACGAGAUUACGAAGAAAUGUUAUAAAACGAAUCCAAAUGUUAAUCUACUGUUUUCUAUGCAACGAGUGACUAUGUUAAUUAUUCUUAUGUAUACUGGAUUAUUACCAUUCGUACCGCUUAAGGAGACACACCUAGAAAUAUUUUUGCCCUCAAUCUAUCUACGGCGUAAAGGCGGACCAAUUCGAACUUUCCUCCCAUUGGAAAAGUUAAUCGUUCGCAUAAUGAACAUGUUGCUGAUGAGACCGUGUUUAUUUAAUCAUUUACGAGCACGUGGUAUUCACGUUUACUUUUGGGUGCUGAAUAAAGAUGAAGAAUUUAAACACGCUUUUGAUCUAGGGGCUACGGGUGUAAUGACUGAUUAUCCCAGUAGAUUAAAGUCAUUUUUAAAGAACAAUGCAUUGGAUUAGACAUUUUUUGAAAAAUCUUACAUUUUUUAACAUUUUAAGACAUUUUAAGUAUACGCAGUGUUCAUCCGAUGGAUGCAAAGCGUUGAAGUGAUUAUGAAUUGACAGUUCAUUACCUAUAAUCUUGGUUCUACAUACAUCACAGAAAACAUACUUUUGUCUGAAGCGCUCAUGUACUGCAUCUGUAACGACACGUCCAGGUGGUUCAGGCUCUUCCUGGACACUUGGAAGAGAAGGAGUAUUUGCGAAAUCAAUUGAAACUAUUAGGGAAACCUAAUUUCAAUGAAAAAACGAAUGUUGAACGCAGAGGCUCUUCGGAGAAGAUGUUUAAGUCCGCAUUGAUAAACAAUCUUCGAAAGAUGCGUCUACAAUAAUACGUGCAGCCACUUCUAGUAAUAUUUGCAGCAACUCUUCUAGAAGAAAUUCAAAAUAUCUCCUUGACAGACAUCUGUGCAAAGCCGAACAUAUGCGACACUUCGGCAAUUUCUACAAAUGAGUUCGAAAGUGACGGCGUACACACAGAUCCUUAUGUAAUACGCCUUUGUCAAGAAAUCAAAAAGCAAGGAGAAGAUAUAAUGACACAAUAUUCAGAGAUUAAAGAGGAGAUUUAAGAUAUCAGACGAAUUUUUCAUGAACAGUCCCAAACAACUUAUGGCGACUUCUCUGAAAAACUCUUCGCACUUCUAGAGGGAUUCUCUUUACAGGGGGUAGAACUGUUGGCUAGAUUAGCUCGAGGUGGUCCCAUAUACUUAGUGUUUCGUCCAACAACUCUGAUUUUUUUUACUUUUUAGUAUAGCUAUUUGAUCAAAAAGGGCAGAGAAAAACUCCGAAUUUUCCUUAGCCUUGCCCUGAAGUUGACGAUGGCCGAUGAAGUAGUCACAUCUUUCACCUGGCUAGAUGAUACAAAACAAAAGGCAUUCGGAGCCACUAGAGUCUCUAAUAUUUUGAACAUGGCUGCAAAAAAGUGUCCUUGUUUCCCUGGCCCUCGAGAUGUUCAGGAAUUGGUUAUGGAGAUAAAGGAGGUGUUUCGAACGACGAAGCAACGAUUUCGCAAUAACUGUAGAAACAGCCGUGUAAACUGUACAUGGACCUGAACUAACCCUACAAGUGAAGAAAUGAGUAUUGCGAGUUUUUGGCACUAAUAAUGGUUUUUUUUACGUUUUUUUAAUACAAGUUGUUGCGAAUAUAUGGAAUACUACUGCUAGAAAGUUGCGGUUUUUUCCGAAGUUGUCAACUUUUUGUCUACUUUGUGGACAUGACAUGAAAUCUUCCACAAUUUUUUUUUAAAUUUAUUCAAGAAUAAUUAUAUAUUUGUUAGAUUUUUAAAAUUAUUACCUCGCUCUAAGUACGAAGUGGACAAAAAGUUGAGAAUUUCAGAAUGAACCGCAAUUUUCCAGCAUUGCAAAUGGAGUAUCAUUAACAACAAUAAUAUAUUAUUUAAGCAAUUAAUUUUUCAACUUUAAUUAUUUAUCCACUUCGCUCUAAUUGGAAGUUAGACAAAAAGCUAAAAAUUUCAGGAAAAACCCGAAACUUUCUAGAAUUAUUUAAAUUGAAUAUUAUUAACAUUAAUAAUAAAUUAUUUAAACAAUUGAUUUUUCAACUUUAAUUAAUUAUUCACCUCGAUGUAACUAAAAAUUGGGUAAAAAGUAAAAAAAAUUAAAAACCGCAACUUUCUAGCAUUAUCAAAACUGAAUAUUAACAAUAAAAUAAAUUGUUUACACAAUUCAUGUAGGCACCUAAAUGUGAGUAUGAAGUAGUAUUUCAUUUAUUAGCAAAAAUUUGCAAUAAAAACGUAACAAAAUCAUAAUUAAUGCCAAAAACUCGCAAAAUUCAUUUUUCAUUUGAAGGGUCAGUUUAGGA